AAGAAAUUAACAGCCAAAAGUUUCAACAACAAAUUGCCCUAAAUGGUAAUGGCAGUAACAACAUUUUGUUUAUUUAUUGCAAAAAGUAAAAGCGAGCAUAACAAUAAAAAUUAUUUAGAAAAAAAGCUGCAACAAAAAAAAAAGCAACAAUUGCCCCUCGACAACAAUAACAACGACAAAGCGAGUCGCGAUCCACAAUAUUUUGGCAUGCUGAGUGGACAGUGUAAUUACGGUUAGUUGUGGUAAAUGGACAUAAAUAUAUAUAUAUAUAUUUAUAUAUUUUGCAACAAAAUCACGUAAUGCACCAACCAAACAAUGGCUGCAAUUAUUUGCAAUUUUUCGUAUACCCUGUAACUGAUGCGGCACGUGAGGCGUUUCUGCGCACAACUCAAUUGGCGCAAGCAAACGAACUAACCUAGCCCGAAAAUCUACACACUUACUAAAUUCAAGCAAAGAAUCAUCAAAUUUUUGAAACUCAAAAUCUUAUAUAGAAAAUCUCACAGGACUUUGAGUAAUACCCCAUAUAUAUAAAA